rnacentral:rRNA from 1 species
AGAGUUUGAUCAUGGCUCAGGACGAACGCUGGCGGCGUGCUUAACACAUGCAAGUCGAACGGUGACCAGGAGCUUGCUCCUGCGAUCAGUGGCGAACGGGUGAGUAACACGUGGGCAACCUGCCCCAGACUCUGGGAUAACUUCGGGAAACCGGAGCUAAUACCGGAUACGACUCGAGUGGGCAUCUACUUGAGUGGAAAGUUUUUCGGUCUGGGAUGGGCCCGCGGCCUAUCAGCUUGUUGGUGGGGUAAUGGCCUACCAAGGCGACGACGGGUAGCCGGCCUGAGAGGGCGACCGGCCACACUGGGACUGAGACACGGCCCAGACUCCUACGGGAGGCAGCAGUGGGGAAUAUUGCGCAAUGGGCGAAAGCCUGACGCAGCGACGCCGCGUGAGGGACGAAUGCCUUCGGGUUGUAAACCUCUUUCAGCAGGGAUGAAGCGCAAGUGACAGUACCUGCAGAAGAAGCACCGGCUAACUACGUGCCAGCAGCCGCGGUA